rnacentral:lncRNA from 1 species
AUGCUCUAACCACUGGGCUACUGGAUGGACACAUAUGGACAUAGACACACGUCAUUUGCAUGGGGCCUGAUUCAGUAGCUGGAUUCAGAGCAUGUCUACUGGAUCAGGCAAGAAAAGUAGUGGAAUGCCUAAUUUCAGAAGUCCAGUGGGGCUUACACAUGAGCUAGGGCACUCAGCUGUUUGAUGGCAUCAGGACUUAGGUGAUUUUGCACUUGCCCACCAGUAGAAAUGCAAGUGCACACAGCAUUAGGUGGCAGCUAAGCAGGUGGCCUGAGGAUCUCAGUUAUGCCUAAAUGUUGGACUUAGGUGCCUAUAGUAGCAGUAAGCCACUGAAGUCCCUUUGUGGAUCUAGCCCGAAGUCCAAAAGUAUCUGCUACACCAGACUAUAAAUGGGUAAUUCAGUCUAUCAUGUCUUUUGCAAGCAAAGACAAAGAGGUACCAUAGUUCAUGGCUCUUCAUUAGACGUUAAAGUGAACAGCUAAACACCAUCUUUGCAGCCAGCAAAACAUUGCAAUCCCUCAGAAUUAAAACAAACACUUUUUUUAAAAAAAAAGAUCAACUGUUAUGAAAAGUCAUGAUUAGAGAAGCAAAGAUAACAGAUAAGAAAUGAACAAAUCACAGGGAAUGUCUUGUAAAUAAAUGUAACGACAAUGGAAUUACUGUCAAAUCAAAUUAUACAAAUUACAGGUUGUAAACAGCAGUUCCAAAGCAGCCCAAUUGAUCACUCAAAAUGAAAUGAGAAACAAGAAGAGGAAAUCUCCAGCAUACUAAGCACUUCCUUAUCCAAUAGGCACACCUCAUCAUCCUUCUGCAGCCAGCAUAAGCCAAAACCCACAAUCUGUCUUCUGCACAGGAGGUGCCUGCCAAUCAACAAGAGCCAGAGAGUCACCCAGAGUAACAAACCAGGGGAAUGCCCCCAAAGUGACCAUGAUGUGCUAGGGACUUUCCAGACAUUUCCGUGAGCAGACGUGGGACGACACACAGCUGAUUCGCUCUCAGAAGAAAAAUAUUCAGGAAAGGAAAUUUUGUGCUGUUGAUUUGGAUGCCUGCUCCCACCCCUUCCCACCAUCUCACUUCUCUCGCCCUUCCUUCAGGUAGCUUCCUUUUGAUUUGCCCUGCAAUUGCUUGGUGAUAUUAAUCUAAUCUGAAACACUGGAAUGCGUUACCUAGGGAGGUGGUGGAGUCUCCUUCCUUGGAGGUUUUUAAGGCCCGGCUUGACAAAGCCCUGGCUGGGAUGAUUUAGCUGGGAAUUGGUCCUGCUUUGAGCAGGGGGUUGGACUAGAUGACCUCUUGAGGUCCCUUCCAACUCUGAUAUUCUAUGAUUCUAUGAAUCUACAUGGAUAUUUCUGAUGUGCUCAUGAGCUUGGUAAUCUUAUAAGAAUGGCACCUUCUCCCAGGAUAGAUACAUCACCUUUCUUUUUACAAAUACUCGUAUCUUGUAUUUGAACAUCUGUCCUGUUGAAUAAAAUAAUUUGUUUUCUUUUUUAAUUCUGCCUG